GAUGAACGCUGGCGGCGUGCCUAAUACAUGCAAGUCGAGCGAAAAGAUCAGGCGCUUGCUCCUUUGACGUAAGGGGCGGACGAGUGGGUAACAAGUGGGUAACCUCCCUAUAAGACUGGAAUAAAACCGGGAAAACGGCGGUAAACCAGGAUAACAUGUUGAACCGCAUGGUUCUACAGUGAAAGGCGGCUUUGCGGCCACUUAUCGAUGGACCCGCGCGGUAUUAGCUGGUUGGUGAGGUAACGGGUCACCAAGGCAACGAUACGUAGACGACCGGAGAGGGGGGUAGCCCACCCUGGAGCUGGGACGCGGACCCGACUCCUACGGGAGGCAGCAGUCGGGAAUCUUCCGCAGUGGGCGAAAGCCUGACGGAGCAGCGCCGCGUGUGUGAUGAAGGUCUUCGGAUCGUAAAACCCUGUUAUGAGUGAAGAACAAAUGCGUAAGGAACUGUGCGCUUAUUGACGGUACCUAAUCAGAAAGCCACGGCUAACUACGUG
rnacentral:rRNA from 1 species